AGAGUUUGAUCCUGGCUCAGGGUGAACGCUGGCGGCGUGCCUAUGACAUGCAAGUCGAACGGGUUGGUAACAACACCGUGGCGGACGGGUGAGUAACGCGUGGGUGACGUGCCCUGGAGUUGGGGACAACCAAGCGAAAGUUUGGAUAAUCCCCGAUGGUGAUGCAGCUCCUGUGCUGUAUCUAAAGAUUUAUCGCUCCAGGAUCGGCCCGCGUCCUAUCAGGUAGUUGGUGGGGUAACGGCUCACCAAGCCAACGACAGGUAACUGGUCUGAGAGGACGACCAGUCACAGGAGCACUGAGACACGGGCUCCACUCCUACGGGAGGCAGCAGUUAGGAAUAUUCGUCAAUGGGGGAAACCCUGAACGAGCGACCCCGCUUGAAGGACGAAGCCUUUCGGGGUGUAAACUUCUGAACUCGGGACGAUAAUGACGGUACCGAGCUAAUAGCACCGGCUAACUCCGUGCCAGCAGCCGCGGUAAUACGGAGGGUGCGAGCGUUACCCGGAUUUACUGGGCGUAAAGGGCGUGUAGGCGGUUUGUUAAGUCCGAUGUGAAAGACCGGGGCUCAACCCCGGGAACGCGUUGGAUACUGACAGACUAGACGGCUGGAGGGGGUAGCGGAAUUUCCGGAGUAGCGGUGAAAUGCGCAGAUACCGGAAGGAACGCCAAUAGCGAAGGCAGCUACCUAGACAGCACGUGACGCUGAGGCGCGAAAGCAUGGGGAGCAAACCGGAUUAGAUACCCGGGUAGUCCAUGCCCUAAACGAUGAGUGCUGGGUGUCCGGCGUAUGCUGGGUGCCGAAGCUAACGCGUUAAGCACUCCGCCUGGGAAGUACGGUCGCAAGACUGAAACUCAAAGGAAUUGACGGGGCCCCGCACAAGCGGUGGAGCAUGUGGUUUAAUUCGAAGGAACGCGCAGAACCUUACCAGGCCUUGACAUCUGGGGAAUCCCGCUGAAAGGUGGGAGUGUCCGCAAGGAAGCCCCAAGACAGGUGCUGCAUGGCUGUCGUCAGCUCGUGUCGUGAGAUGUUGGGUUAAGUCCCGCAACGAGCGCAACCCCUGUAGUUAGUUGCCAGCAGUUCGGCUGGGCACUCUAGCUAGACUGCCUGCGAAAGCAGGAGGAAGGCGGGGAUGACGUCUAGUCCGCAUGGCCCUUACGGCCUGGGCUACACACGUGCUACAAUGGUUGCUACAGAGCGCUGCAACACGGCGACGUGAAGCCAAUCGCUUAAAAGCAACCUCAGUUCGGAUUGGAGUCUGCAACUCGACUCCAUGAAGCCGGAAUCGCUAGUAAUCGCGAAUCAGCUACGUCGCGGUGAAUACGUUCCCGGGGCUUGUACACACCGCCCGUCAAGCCAUGGGAGUAGGUUUCACCUGAAGUCACUGGGAGCUUAAGGCAGGUGCCGAGGGUGGGGCUUAUGACUGGGGCUAAGUCGUAACAAGGUA
rnacentral:rRNA from 1 species